rnacentral:lncRNA from 1 species
AAAACAUAGAUUUUGUUUUCAUCAUCAACAAAAGUAUGCAGGUGAAAUAUUAUCCAAGUUUGUUAUGAAAGAGUCUAAUAAAGUAUGUAGUCCAAAUGUUCCUGGAUAUAAGUUGGUGACAGACGAAAAUGACAAAUCCUGGAUGCUACCACCUACAAGCAAAUGGUAGGGAGUCCUAUUAACCUUCUAGCUACAAGGCAUGAUAUGGAUUUUUUUAGUAUGUUUGGUGUCUAGGUACAUGGAGAAAGAUUGUAGCAAGUGUCGGACAUGGAAAAAGGUGAAUAUAUAAAUCAAUGCCAUCCAUUUUUUCACUACCUUUCUUUACUCCUUCUUGUAUUCAUAUUUCAUAUUUAUAGCCUUUCAUUUGCUACACGAAAACUGGUAUUCUUUUUACUACACAAGUAACACAUAAACAUGCAAUCUUAGAAGUUAGAUUUCAUCUAGAUUAUAAUCUGUUUGCAACCGCUCCAGUUAAUACAACAAUAAAACUAUGGAAUACAAC